rfam:Bacillus coagulans 36D1, complete genome.
UGACUGCGAUGAAGUGGGAGGUUGCUGGCACACCCGGCCGCUUUGCCAUGGCGCGUGGGCCAGGAAAAUUUCCAUGGAGAAUGUCUAUUAGCAAAUAGGCGA